UAUUGGUCAAUGGGCGCGCGCCUGAACCAGCCAAGUAGCGUGAAGGAUGACGGCCCUAUGGGUUGUAAAAUUCUUGUAUAGGGGAAUGAAGUUUGUUAUGCAUACCAUUUUGUAUGUACCAUAUGAAUAAGGGUCGGCUAACUCCGUGCCAGCAGCCGCGGUAAUACGGAGGAUCCGAGCGUUAUCCGGAUUUAUUGGGUUUAAAGGGAGCGUAGGUGGACAGUUAAGUCAGUUGUGAAAGUUUGCGGCUCAACCGUAAAAUUGCAGUUGAUACUGGCUGUCUUGAGUACAGUAGAGGUGGGCGGAAUUCGUGGUGUAGCGGUGAAAUGCUUAGAUAUCACGAAGAACUCCGAUUGCGAAGGCAGCUCACUGGACUGCAACUGACACUGAUGCUCGAAAGUGUGGGUAUCAAACA
rnacentral:rRNA from 1 species